UACGGGGGGAGCAAACGUUGUUCGGAUUUACUGGGCGUAAAGGGCGCGUAGGCGGCCAGCACAAGUCAGUUGUGAAAUCUCCGAGCUUAACUCGGAACGGUCAACUGAUACUGUGCGGCUAGAGUGCAGAAGGGGCAACUGGAAUUCUUGGUGUAGCGGUGAAAUGCGUAGAUAUCAAGAGGAACACCUGCGGCGAAGGCGGGUUGCUGGGCUGACACUGACGCUGGAGGCGCGAAAGCUAGGGGAGCGAACGGG
rnacentral:rRNA from 1 species